ACAAAUAGAUGUUCACUUAAUUCUUCUAUUUUCCAUCCAGGUUUCUGCUCUCACCUUCUGCUCUGCCUGCUUUGCCUGAGUCUGGGGACUCCACAAAUGGAAGAUUUGGAGACAAAAGUAUUUAGAAAAGAAGUGUACUUGAAAAAGAUCUGUUAAGAAUCUUCACGGGCUAGAAGGAUUAGAUCAUCAAAAAAAAAAAAAAUACAUGUAUCUAAAGGUACAAUGUGUUUUUUCCUUUCUGACUAUGAGAUGAAGUGUGUAUGAUUACCCAAAGUGAGAUGCCAUUUUGCUUCUACAGUUCCACCUGGUGGUCAGGUUUCUGGUCCUGAGGUACAUAUUUAACCACGUGGGAAAGCAUGGACUUACACCCCAUGCUUCUCAUAAAUGGAAGAGCCUUGGUCUCUACCCCACAGGUGGUCAUGAGGAUGGAACAUCUCCCUGGA